UCAGUGAACAAGUUUUGAAGUUCCUCAUCCUUCACUGGAGAAUUAAAAUUCUGAUCCUGUACUUUAUCUGAUGAAAACUUCACAUGUUCCCUGUAAGGAGCUCUGCAAGGGAGAAUACAACUUCCAUAUGGACUAAAGGCAGAGACAAGUGGCAUCUCCUCCUCUCACGUGGUGUCCCAGGGCUGCUGGUUCCUCUCCUCCUGGUAAACAAACUCCUGAACAUCUCCCCACCUCUGAUGUUAAAUCACUCUUUGACACAGGUUUUGAGAUAUGAACAUCUGCAAAUGAGAACUUUACACAGGAAAUCAAGUCAGCUUCUACAUUCCCCUGCAAAGCAAGAGAGCAGAUGCUGCUCACCAACCCCUGCUCUCCAGUUUGGAAUAUCUCAGCUAAGCACUGCAGUCCUUUGCCAUUGAUCAGUAAAGGACACUCAUUGUCACCACAGUAGAUCCAAAAAUCAGGGCACUCUGCAGCUUGUUGAUGUGAUGACCACUACCAGCAAGAUGGUUAACAUCACCCACCAAGAAUAUUUUUCUUCAAAAUUUAAAAAAUAUUUCUGGUACUGUUCUAUGAACGCCAUGGUGAAUAUUUCAGACUUUUUACAAAGAACCAACAGCAAUCAGUGACCUGCACCUACCUUGCUCAUUUGUUUUGGGGGUUUUUUUUGUUGGGUUUUCUUUUUUUGUGCAAGUAGAGAAAAUACAAAGGUGGCCAUUUUACUC